CCUACGGGUGGCAGCAGUGGGGAAUAUUGCACAAUGGGCGCAAGCCUGAUGCAGCCAUGCCGCGUGUGUGAAGAAGGCCUUCGGGUUGUAAAGCACUUUCAGCGGGGAGGAAGGCGGUGAGGUUAAUAACCUCAUCGAUUGACGUUACCCGCAGAAGAAGCACCGGCUAACUCCGUGCCAGCAGCCGCGGUAAUACGGAGGGUGCAAGCGUUAAUCGGAAUUACUGGGCGUAAAGCGCACGCAGGCGGUCUGUCAAGUCGGGUGUGAAAUCCCCGGGCUCAACCUGGGAACUGCAUUCGAAACUGGCAGGCUAGAGUCUUGUAGAGGGGGGUAGAAUUCCAGGUGUAGCGGUGAAAUGCGUAGAGAUCUGGAGGAAUACCGGUGGCGAAGGCGGCCCCCUGGACAAAGACUGACGCCCAGGUGCGAAAGCGUGGGGAGCAAACAGGAUUAGAUACCCUAGUAGUC
rnacentral:rRNA from 1 species